rnacentral:rRNA from 1 species
AACGAACGCUGGCGGCAUGCCUAACACAUGCAAGUCGAACGAGACCUUCGGGUCUAGUGGCGCACGGGUGCGUAACGCGUGGGAACCUGCCCUUAGGUUCGGAAUAACUCCCCGACAGGGGUGCUAAUACCGGAUAAUGUCUUCGGACCAAAGAUUUAUCGCCUUUGGAUGGGCCCGCGUUGGAUUAGCUAGUUGGUAGGGUAAAAGCCUACCAAGGCGCCGAUCCAUAGCUGGUCAGAGAGGAUGAUCAGCCACACUGGGACGGAGACACGGCCCAGACUCCUACGGGAGGCAGCAGUGGGGAAUAUUGGACAAUGGGCGCAAGCCUGAUCCAGCAAUGCCGCGUGAGUGAUGAAGGCCUUAGGGUUGUAAAGCUCUUUUACCCGGGAUGAUAAUGACAGUACCGGGAGAAUAAGCUCCGGCUAACUACGUG